UACAGAGGCCUCGAGCGUUAGGCGGAAUCACUGGGCUUAAAGCGUGUGUAGGCGGAUCGUUAAGUGCCUUGUGAAAUCCCAUGGCUUAACCAUGGAACUGCUUGGCAUACUGGCGGUCUUGAGGCCACUUAGGGGCGAACCGGAACAAAUGGGUGGAGCGGUGAAAUGCGUAGAUAUCAUUUGGAACGCCAAUGGUGAAAACAGGUUGCUGGGAGUGUGCUGACGCUGAGACACGAAAGCCAGGGGAGCGAACGGG
rnacentral:rRNA from 1 species